CGGAGGGUGCAAGCGUUAUCCGGAUUCACUGGGUUUAAAGGGUGCGUAGGUGGGCCAGUAAGUCCGUGGUGAAAUCCCCGAGCUUAACUCGGGAACUGCCGUGGAUACUAUUAGUCUUGAAUAUCGUGGAGGUAAGCGGAAUAUGUCAUGUAGCGGUGAAAUGCUUAGAUAUGACAUAGAACACCGAUAGCGGAGGCAGCUUACUACGCGAUUAUUGACACUGAGGCACGAAAGCGUGGGGAUCAAACAGGAUUAGAUACCCUGGUAGUCCACGCCCUAAACGAUGGAUACUCGACAUACGCGAUACACUGUGUGUGUCUGAGCGAAAGCAUUAAGUAUCCCACCUGGGAAGUACGACCGCAAGGUUG
rnacentral:rRNA from 1 species